rnacentral:rRNA from 1 species
GAUGAACGCUGGCGGCGUGCCUAAUACAUGCAAGUCGAGCGAACAGACGAGGAGCUUGCUCCUCUGACGUUAUCGGCGGACGGGUGAGUAACACGUGGAUAACCUACCUAUAAGACUGGGAUAACUUCGGGAAACCGGAGCUAAUACCGGAUAAUAUAUUGAACCGCAUGGUUCAAUAGUUAAAGUCGGUUUUGCUGUCACUUAUAGAUGGAUCCGCGCCGCAUUAGCUAGUUGGUAAGGUAACGGCUUACCAAGGCAACGAUUCGUAGCCGACCUGAGAGGGUGAUCGGCCACACGGGAACUGAGACACGGUCCAGACUCCUACGGGAGGCAGCAGUAGGGAAUCUUCCGCAAUGGGCGAAAGCCUGACGGAGCAACGCCGCGUGAGUGAUGAAGGUCUUCGGAUCGUAAAACUCUGUUAUUAGGGAAGAACAAAUGUGUAAGUAACUAUGCACGUCUUGACGGUACCUAAUCAGAAAGCCACGGCUAACUACGUG